rnacentral:lncRNA from 1 species
GGGGGGGGGGGGCAAAGGCUGAACCAGGCCGAGAACUACAACAAACUUUCCAAAAAACCUUCAACCUUUUGGCUUGAUCUGCUGCAUAAAUACUUUGUUGAUGCACCAUAUGUCACGGUGGUCGGACAGCCAAGCCAACAACUACAAGAAGAGAUGGCACGGAUUGAGGCAUUGAGAUUGGAAUGUCAACGUGAACAGCUUGGACCACGAGGAUUGAUCAACUGCUCUACGUGCCUACAAAAAGCUAUCAAAGAGAAUGAAUGCGAGUCUCCACAAGAGCUUCUGAGCUGCUUCUGUGUUCCCAGCACAGACAGCAUCUUCUUUCAUCCCAUACAGCGGCACUCAACCGUGCUUGAAGAUAAAGAGCAAAGUGAUGACCUCAUCUUAACCAAUGUUCCUUUUCCCACCCAAGUUGAUCACAUUCACUCCAUCUUUGUUCGGAUAAUUGCAAUGUUGGACACGUCGACUGUACCUGCCUACCUGAAGCCUUACCUCACACUCUACUCUGAAAUUUUGUUUGAAUCACCCGUGAUGCGUGGUGAUGACAUUGUUUCUCACUCGGAGGUGAUCAGACAGCUGGCAGCUGAUACGGUCAAGUCGAGUGCCUCGCUGGGGAUUAAGGGUGGUCGUUUUCACUGUGGAGUACAUGGCCAGCUGCUGUGCUUGACACUGAAGGUAGAGAUGGACAAGUACCUAAAAGGUGUGCAGUGGUUGAAGGAACUUCUGCAUCAGGUUGUAAUUGUGCCUGAACGGGUGCAAAUGGUAGCCACAAAAAUCCUCAACGAAAUCCCAUGUCUGAAGCAAGAAGGCUGUGCUGUGGCCACAACAAUCAUAAAAGAGCUCAAUUUCAAUAGUGAGAGCAACCAUGUGACCUCUGGCAUGGUGAGACAGCAACAAUUCCUUUUGAAGCUGCUUGAGCGACUGCAGAAAGAGCCGUCAGAGGUACUCACAGAUCUUGAGACUUUGAAGAAUUUCUUGGUGGCACCAGAAAAUCUUCGUGUCCAUAUCUCGGCCAACAUGGAUUCUCUCAGCCAAAUAUUCCCUUCACCGCACAUGGCUCUUUGUUCUGCUCUGCUGAAGGACAACCAUCUUAAUAUGGCUAUUCUGCCAAACCCAUUGAAAGAGAGCCACUAUUUUCUGCGGCAGACGUCCCCCAUCGGUGUUAUUGUUGGUGUGGGUGCCGUUGAGUCAAGCUACCUAAUACAGACCGUGCCGUGCAUCACCAGCUGCCUGGAUCCUGAUCUACCCGCGAUUAUGGUUUUCAUCGAGUACCUCACGGCUCUUGAGGGCCCAAUGUGGAGACAGGUACGAGGCUUGGGUUUGGCAUAUCACUACAGCAUGCAGGUACAUCCCAGUGAAGGCCUACUGUACUUCAUGCUGUACAAGUCAAGUCAACUAGUGAGUGCCUAUAAGCAGGCCAUGGACAUUCUGGCUGAGUAUGUCUCUGAGGAGUCGAUGUGGGAGAUUAGUUCGGUUGAAGCCGCUGUAUCGAGCGUCAUCUACGAGAUUGUUGAGCGUGAAACCACCGUAUCCGAUGCUUCUUUGCAGUCACUGCUAGCCUCCUUUCGUGGCAUUGACAACAAAACAUUGUUGAAGAAAGUUUCACAGGUGAGAGUUGAGGAUUUGCGCCAUGUUGGCAGUCGAUAUUUUUCACAUCUUUUCAAUUCAGCAUUUGCCAACUGUGCUGUUGUCUGCAACCCAUCACGAGUUGAAGAAAUUUUCCAAGGAUUUCAAGGGCGAGGCCAAGUGAGGACUUCCGGCCACAAAAAGGCCCAACGGGUGCGCUUCACACUUCAAAAGGACCAAUCAUGAUCUGUCUGGCUGGUGCACCACAAGCCAUGGUGGCAUAAUCUGCUGUGGAGCAGACAUUCAGUGAAGAGGGGAAAGACUUUUUAAAAAUUAUUUGGGCCACCCCGGGGGCAAGAUGGCCCGGAGGAUGACACCUCCUAGAAGAAUCUGGCGUCUAAUCACGGCACCUGCCGCAGGUGAAGUCCACGAGGGCUGGGGCUGCACUGCGCAUGGAAUGGAAUUGAAGUGGGACGCUUUGAGAUAAUGAUUGUUCUCUUCCUCUCACUGACUGUCUUCUUAACCGGCUCUCUUUGUCUUCCGCUGUGCUUUGCCAUCGGGAUAGGGAGGACUGCUCUCUGGAGUUAUGGACG